CUUCUUCAUAAUCAAAAUGAUUAUUCAUCAUAAAAAUUAUUCACACUUAUGGUAUGGUAUUUAGCUAAAGUUAUAUCAUCGCAAACUUUACAUGCGAAGAAUCCACUCUUCCCAUCAGUAUGCUUUUGAGAGAUAACCUUUGUUGGUCUUUACACCAUGAAGUGGUAAUAACAUUAAUGAUUCACCUUAAAUUGUUCAACCGAUGGCAAUGAUAUGUUGUCUGUUUUGAAGUCACUAUCAGUAAUAUGACAUGUUAAUCAGCCCCAUCAGUCUAGUAUGCUUUAUGUAAACAAUUGUCCCAUUUUGCCAGUAUGUUUGUUGAUGUGGGAAUUGACUCUUUUAGUCGGAAAUAUGAUGGGUCAUGAUCAAAAAUGGACAUAAAAAUUAUUCACUCCUGGUAUGGUAUUUAGCUAAAGUUAUUUCAUCGCAAACUUUACAUGCGAAGAAUCCACUCUUCCUGUCAGUAUGCUUCCUGUCAGUAUGCUUUCGAGAGAUAACGUUUGUUGGUCUUUACACCAUGAAGUGGACAAGUGGUAAUAACAUUGAUGAUUCACCUUAAAUUGUUCAACCGAUGGCAAUGGUAUGUUGUCUGUUUUGAAGUCACUAUCAGUAAUAUGGCAUGUUAAUCAGCCCCAUCAGUCUAGUAUGCUUUAUGUAAACAAUUGUCCCAUUUUGCCAGUAUGUUUGUUGAUGUGGGAAUUGACUCUUUUAGUCGGAAAUAUGAUGGGUCACGAUCAGAAUUGGACAUAAAAAUUAUUCACACUCCUGGUAAGGUAUUUAGCUAAAGUUAUAUCAUCGCAAACUUUAGAUGCGAAGAAUCCACUCUUCCUAUCAGUAUGCUUCCUGUCAGUAUGCUUUUGAGAGAUAACGUUUGUUAGUCUUUACACCAUGAAGUUGUAAUAACAUUGAUGAUUCACCUUAAAUUGUUCAAUCGAUGGCAAUGGUAUGUUGUCUGUUUUGAAGUCAGUAUCAGGUAAUAUGGCAUGUUAAUCAGCCCCAUCAGUCUAGUAUGCUUUAUGUAAACCAUUGUCCCAUUUUGCCAGUAUGUUUGUUGAUGUGGGAAUUGACUCUUUUAGUCGGAAAUAUGAUGGGUCACGAUCAGAAAUGGACCCUUUUCUCCAUCUAUAGUGGCUUAUGAUGAUGCUUUGAUUCAUGGACACAUUGUACAUGGAGAUAUAGAAAAGAUGCUUAAAUGCUUUAGGAGUUUUUGAUCAGACUAGUGUAACUGGAUUAGCUCCAGAUGUUGUCAAUUAUGUUACUGGUUUUUUGUAGAAAUCAAGAGCUAGAUAAGGCCUUUGAAAUGAAACACCAAUUGGUCAAAAAAAGGCGUUUUACCUAAUGCUGUUACAUAUUCAUUACUGAUCAAAGGCCUUUGUGAUCAAAGGAACCUGACUGAAGCUUGUAAUGUUUUUCAAGAAGUGUUUAGAAUAGGUUUACCACCUGAUGAAGGCACAUACACCGCUUCGAUCAAUGUUUAUUGUGUAGAUGGACAUACGAAAGUGCAUCACAUUUGCAUGACGAAAUGCUUAAUAAAGGCUUGCUCCCUGAUGUUGCCACGUACAGUGUGUUGAUUAAUGGGUUUAACAAGCAAUCACAAACUCAUGAAGCAACACAGAUUCUUUUCCAGUUGGACAACGCGGUUCCAGAUGAUGUCACUUAUAAUACAUUGAUAGAGAACUGUGGCGACAUGAUAACCUAAAGGAUUCUGUAUGCUAGUUUUAACGCACAAAGCAGAUAAAGUUUUUGAUAAGCUGCUGCAACGAAGGCAAGCUCCCACUGAUGCUGUUAGUAACGUUAUAAAAUGGGAAUUUAAGGAAAUCUUUUAAUUUUUACAAAAAGAUUAAACCCUAAAUGAUUACCGCUCUAGUAAAUGAACUUAUAAGAGGUGAAAUGACCACAGAGUCGAGUGAAGUUAUACGAAAUGUAUCAAGUAGUUGUAAUUUACUGAUGCUGAGCUUGUGAAAGCUCUUGGUGAGAUAAACCAGAAACAUGGAAACAUGGAGGCAGUAUUCAAGAUUCUUGCAGAGUGGCUAAGGAUGGGCUUCUUCCUAGCAGUGGGAGAACUGCUUACGCUCAAUGAUCAUGGACCAUCUUGUCUACUACAGAACGCUUAAGCUAGCAAAGAAAUCUGAUGUGUUUGUGGCAAUUGAAAACUUUGUACAAUUUCAGACGCAAUUCUCAGGGGCUCAAUGAUCAAGGACAAUCUUGUCUAAAAUCAAAAGCUAAAGCCACUUCAAGCUCUUGGAAAAUGCUCUUUGGCGUGUAGAUUCGUACCUAUGGAACAUGUAAAGAAUGAAGAACAAAAUAAAUGGAUGAUUACUUCAGACAUCAUUAUUUGAAGAUUUAAUCCUGUGUACCAUGGGAUCAGAAUGACUUCCAGAACAAAGAGCGAAGUAUAAGAGAGGUUGUUCGUGAUCUACAGCAAAAUCCUUUUGUACAUCUCUCGACUUGCACUUAGGCUUUGGAAAUAGCAAAGAUUGGAGCCACUGCAAUCCAAAUAUAUUUGUUAGCUUAAUCAGAUAUACAAACUAGAGGUGCAGCAGCAUAAGCAAGUUGGGCGAAAUGGGCAGCGGGUCAAAAUAGUAAUGCUUUUGUAAGUGUUGGAAUAGGUCCGUUCGGGUCAGGUUGACCCAAAACACUUUGGGUCACAUUUAUAUUGUGUUCCUAAUAAAAUAGUAUGUAUUACAUGUUUACAUAGUUAUAAAAUUUCCCUAGUGAUCUCAGUUUUUAUUAAUAUGAUUUAGGAGUUUUUACGUAUUUAAGAUGUACUCUGGGUAACUUUUGCCCAUUUGACCGUUAAAUAUAAAUUAUAUUCGUGUCAAUCAA